AAAAUGUAAAAAAGAAAAAAGAAAAUUGCUAUGGUUAUCAGAAAUAAUCAACAUUUUUCUCAAAAGAGUAAGAAAAGAAUACAAAAUAGUACAUACCACAUAAUGUCGAACAAAUUCAUUAGCUUCGAACUCUUGAUGAAUAAAUUAAAAAUAAAAACUCAAGUAAUAAGACUUAAAACCAAGAAGAUCAUCAUCACCCAAUCCAUCGAAUACACUACCAAUAAGAACCUUUCACCACUUAUCCUAACGUGUGCUUCCGGAUUGAUUUGUCAUACCAAAAUGAAGGCCACAGGUGACACUUGCUGAAACUUCUAUCUCAUCCUUAUAAAAUUAAGUACCAGAAAGUCUGCAACAAAGCAAGUAUAUGAUCCCGGCCCCUAGAUGGAGGGACUUGUAUGCAGUACAACCGUGAAACAAACACAAGAAGACUCGGACCAAGCACAUCCAACAUCAUUGUUACCUGAUAGCAGCUCAAGCUUAUAACACAGAAAACCACAAACAUUGCGAUGACAAAAUGAAUACAGCUCCAAAUAGCAAAUAUAUAGAUAUAUAAAUUAAAGCAGGACCCUAUGAUAAUAAAUAGGAGCAGUAUAUUCUUGACAAAACACCAGCUACUAUGGUUAUCAGUCCUCAUUUAUUGCAAGAAACCAUUUUAAAACUAAAAUUGAGACAAUAAAACUACAAUGCCAGCCGCAAAUGAAUAGCAGCAACACAAAUGCUCAAACUCAGCUGACUCUGGAACACUGUGAUGCUUAAUAUACCAACCAAGCCACCGUGAUCAUAACAAGAAAAAAUUGUCGUUAUGGUUAUAUCAAAUCAUAAAUAAAUAACAUGGAAUAUAUUUCAACUUAUGCAGUCUAGCAUGGAAAUUGAAGCCAGCCAUAGAUAACUAGAUUCUAACAGAAUUUGAUUUACAACUAUUAGAAAUUAUAUCACGGAUAAAUCUGUCUCAAGGAGAAAAGAAAAUGCAACAAACAUACAUCUGCAUCUAAUUAGUUCACUAUCACCGAAAACAGUUAAUGAAUCAUAAUCCUCUGGAAAUUACAAAUGGUUUAACCAUAGUUUCACCAUAAGUAAGCUAUUUACACAAACAACUGUAACAGUAAACCUACCUUCAAAGACAUAACCAUUCCAAAAGAACUAUGUACAAACCAGAAAUGCA
rnacentral:lncRNA from 1 species